AUGUGCGUGGUGCUGCUUUGGUAC
rnacentral:piRNA from 1 species